rnacentral:rRNA from 1 species
AGCGGCAGACGGGUGAGUAACGCGUGGGAAUCUACCCAGCUCUACGGAACAACUCCGGGAAACUGGAGCUAAUACCGUAUACGUCCUUCGGGAGAAAGAUUUAUCGGAGUUGGAUGAGCCCGCGUUGGAUUAGCUAGUUGGUGGGGUAAUGGCCUACCAAGGCGACGAUCCAUAGCUGGUCUGAGAGGAUGAUCAGCCACACUGGGACUGAGACACGGCCCAGACUCCUACGGGAGGCAGCAGUGGGGAAUAUUGGACAAUGGGCGAAAGCCUGAUCCAGCCAUGCCGCGUGAGUGAUGAAGGCCCUAGGGUUGUAAAGCUCUUUCACCGGUGAAGAUAAUGACGGUAACCGGAGAAGAAGCCCCGGCUAACUUCGUGCCAGCAGCCGCGGUAAUACGAAGGGGGCUAGCGUUGUUCGGAAUUACUGGGCGUAAAGCGCACGUAGGCGGACUAUUAAGU